GCUGAACAACAGCAGACAAAUCUGAGAGCCGCAAGACGUCAUUUCACACCGGGGAGAUUUGCUCCUCUAAUCCCAGUCCAGGGAAAAUCUGUGCGCCGGAUUUUGUCCUCCUGCUUAGAAAAUGAGACGAGGAGGAGAAAGGCGCGCUGGUGCAAACACCACCAUAUUGGCGGCACACACACAACACACACCCUAACACACACACAGUGGUUGUGACUAAAGCACACAGAGGCCAUAUGGUGCGUCCUCUUCUACCGACGCCUGUUGCUGCAACAAUGGGCCCGCCUGGCCUGGGCAGUGAGAGGCAAACACACACACAGACACACACACACACACAGACAUACUAACUGGUUGUUAGUCUGACCGACUGUGUUCCUUGAGCUCAGAACAAACGGCUGGAUUUGCAUUCAGCGCCUCCCCUCCUCAAAGCAGCACAGACUUCUCUGGUCUCUACAGGUGCAUGGAGGGCCAAAAACAGAUGUCAACGGACCGGGAAAGGAGGGGCUUGGGGGAGCGGGGGUGGUGGGGGGAGUGGAGCCUGUUUGCCCACAGUGGCUGACAAAGCUUUGUAGGCUCAACAAGCCAGAGACAAUGACACACAUGUCCUCUCUCCGUUCCGCUUUCAGACUCUUUUACAGAAGAAGCUCCUGAAGAAUCCCGGCUUCCAGGACGGAUGAGCGGCGCUACACUGAUCCACAGGAGUGGGACAAAAACAUCCACAAACUCAUGACUAAAACAACACACGGGUUUGGUUUAGGUUGGGAACUGCUGAAUGCAGGAAAAACUCAAGAUCUGCCCCGGUUGGGGGCCCUCAGUCCAAACAAGCACAUCCAUCCUCAAACAAACCGUCAUGAAGCUCAUGCAGAAAGAAGCCAUGGCUGUUAUUGUCUGUAUACUAAUCCUUUUAUCCAGCAUACCUCCCAACAUCUGACAAACUGCUCCAGCAUCCACUGGUUUCAUCCUACAGCCUGCAAUUUUCUCCAAUAAUUACAUUGUGGUUUGGCCUGCUGCACCGCAGAUCUGGAACUAAAAAGGCCAAGAGCAGUCCUUUAAUCAAUAUUUAAAAGGAAGUGCAAAACCCGGGCUGCCAUGGUGCUGUGGAGGCCUCAGGCAGCUGUCAGAGAGACUUCCACGCAGAUCAGAUGUGCUGUGAAGUGCCGGGAGAUGCUUUUCGACCUUUGAUUGAUACAUGUCAAAAUGAAACAGAGGAGGCUUCAGUGACUGACUGAGAGUAACUCCCCAACAGUGCUGAAUCCAGGCAGAUGGAGCUCUUUCUUUCAGCCCCACCGGCUCCCGUCGACCAUCUGAUGCGCUCUGGGUAAACACCGGCUCGGAUCUGCCCGUGGCCUGUUUGGCUGACUGUGGCCUGCACCGCCCGCCUGCGCAGGAGAGGAAACCCCGCCGAUGCAACAAGUCCCCCUUCACUCGCAGCUCGCAGCUUUGUUGGCUUUGCCUCGCAGCGCGCCGCUCUCACCGCCUCCCUCACGUGAACGCGACGCCGGCGACCGGAAACCCGACACCUUCCCAGUCAUUAACGGCAAGAACAAAUCAACAAGGUUUGUUGUUUGCUGAGUCGACAAACAAACAACAAACAGCAGCGCGACAUCCCCGCUGCUGGGCGCGCGGCGGCGGAGCGGAGGCUGCUGCUCCAUCUCGCCUGCUGCUGUGACGCUGCGUUGGGCUCCAUCUCAGCCGGUUCCUUCGCAGCUCCGCGGUUCACUUCGGGGUUCCAGGCGAAGCGACCGGGGGGUUUGGAAGGCUUACGGGAAGGCUGGCUGGAGGCUUUUGCCCGGAUCAGAGUCGCCGCGGCGCCGGGAAAGCUUCCGCCAACUCCAGAGUGCCCCUCUCGGUUUGGCUUUGAAGAAGGGUCGGGCGCGCGGAGUGCGUAAAAUGCGCAGCGUCUCUCCAAGGAUGCGAAAUAUGCGCGGAAUGGGAGCAGGAAUGAAAUGAACGCGGUGGACUGAGUUGAACGGGGCGGGGUGAGAGGGACUGGCGUCACCCUGGAUGAAACAGAGCGAUGGGAGGAUGGGUGGAAAAAAAAGGAAAGAGAAGGGAAGGAGGGCGAGGGGGAAGGGACCGGACUGGAAGGGCUGCGUUCAGCAACAAAAGAAAAGAGUGCAGCGCCUGAACUCCGCUCGGAGGAGGAGGAGGGGGUCCAGAUAACACGCUCCACUGUGUUCAGCCCACGGAGAUAAGAUUAAGAAAGGAGACCAGCCUGAGCAGACCUCACCUCAUCUGCAACUCCUGCUGAGGAAACCCAACGAAACGAAAUACCAACAACUUAUAUGGAAGAAAACUUUUCGUGAUUUCCCAGCAGCCAAAGCUGCAUUCAGGGCUGCUGUCUGCUGUGGUGAACCCCCUCAUAAUGCGUGUAGACCUCCACUAUAGCGGUGUUGGAGUCACUUUGCUGAACUUUAACUCCAACAGAACCGGAUCUUUGUGUGGUUCGGCCUCCGGGAGUGCAAACACCCACUUUAGAUGAACUUUCAUUAUCUUUCCUCAAAUCUGGACCAUCCAAAACCUACACAAAGAUCCGGAAGUUACACACACCUCAUCCUCCGAAUGGGGGGGGGGGGGGAUGCUUGACCACCCACACAAAUAGUUACCAUGACAACCACGGCAAAGUGCUGUCACCUUUGGACACAAACAUGGCACACAUGUUUAUGGAAGGAAAACACUGAGGGAAGGGGGGGGGGGGGGUCACACAACUCUAGUUUUUUUUCAACUCAAAACUGAAAGAAAGUGAAGCCCCUCAUGAAAACUUUAACUGAUGUUGUUACCGUGACAACGCACAAAGUAUUGAGACGUUAACAAAAUUAACUUCACAAUAAACCAAAACUCUUCAAUUCCUAAACCUGGAUGAUGUUAUAAUGAGAGGAUGUUACCAUAGCAACCACAAGGAAAUCUGCACACAACUCAUCCUUCAUCUGGCUCAGGUGCAGACGCACACUUGUUGCAUUGAUCUUUUACAUUUUUGUGGGACUAUUUGUGUGGCAGGAGUCCAUAAUAGCAGAGAGACGGACUGGAGUCCUGCAGCUUUGUCACUAAACCUGUUUUGCAGGAUCUUGUCAGGAAUUGUGCUGUUUCUUUUCUUGUUGUUGUUGAUUUGCAUUCCAGGGAGCACUGUGGAAGUUACCUAAAAGCAAGGAAUUUGAUCUUCAGUGUUUCUGUUCCAGUUUGUUUGUAGGUUGAAGUCCUGCUCUGACCAUCUUUUUCCAACACCAUUUUAUCAUGUGCUCCUGAUUCUCAAUGCCUUCAAUAAAAAAUACUCAGAAA